CCACAUCUGGAAGAAAGUACAUAACACCUCUUUAAGUCAAGGCUGUUUGUUAAAUGUACAUGUGUUUGAGCCUACUAUAGUAUUCUCAGAGUAAGGUUAUGCAUGCAGAUUUCUGUGGCCCAAAUUUAUUUUCACCAGCAGUGUUGUUGUGAUUGCUCAAAACAUUUUAUAGAACUCUCAUAACUGAAAAAAAUAGUUUUCGCCUUCUCUUUCUAAAAGCAUAUUUUCUACCUAUUUAUCUCUCACUCAGCCACAAUUACCUGGGAAAUGACUUUUAGUGCUUACAAUGAUAAAAAAAAAAUCAGAUACACUUUCAAAGGAGAGAAUUGCCACACUGAUACUGAGAAUCAUGUGCCUUUAUAUUAAUUGAAAGCCAGUCCCAAAAAAUUCUGAAGGGAUUUUUAUCAACAGCUGUAUAGCUAGAGAACCUUCCCAUUUUAGGAGACUAUUAUAAAGGAGAUAGAUACUAUAUAUAUUAUGCUGUUUAAAAUAUAAUUGCAUUCCUUUAUAACCACAAUCUAUACCCCAUUCUUUUUAGUCAUUAAAUUCCUACAAUUUGUUAUUAGACCUCAUCAAUCUUAAAAAUAAGAUUUUGAGGCAGUUUGAUCUUUGAAUGUAAGAGUAAGAACAAACUAUGUUCAUAAAGAUAUUUUAGAAUUUAAUUCAAUUUAUUUUUCUGGAGUGGAAGUAAUAGCAAUCCUCGAGAUGAUAGGACUUGACAGCCCCAAUGUUCAGACCCCUCUUUUAGGUUUCUCAGGUCAAAACACAGAUUGUUGAAGGAGCUUAUAAGGAUGCCAGUUUCUCUAUUUCUCCCACUUAACUGUGGAAUCCAGAUUUUCAUAAGGGGGAUCCACAAGGCAGUUUUGCAAAUACUAACUACAAUGUAAAACUCGAAGCACUCUUCCUAACUCAGAUUUCAUUUCAACCCCAGGGGAUUUUUCUAAUGAGAAUUUUUAUUUCUAACUAGCUGCUUAUUCAGGAGAAUCAUUAUCCAUUUAUAAAUUAAUUUCUUCUUGUACACACUGCAAGCUACUUAAGAGUUUCCAUGUGAAAGAAAGACUAAAUUUCGAUCAGCUCCUGAAAUUGCAUUUAUUUGUCCUUGAAACUUUCAAUUUGGGUCUUGUAUUUUAAACUUUUGUGCCCAUGGUAUUUUAAAAUGUAUGACAGCUUUCUCGCAAUUGGCUGUCAGUUGACCCCUCACUGAUCCUGUUACAGUUGCUCUGAAGGGGUUUUUAACCUGUCUUUGAGCUGCUGCCAGAAUCCUGCAAAGAAAAUUCACAUAAAUCCCACUGCCUAUAUUUUAUCACAGCAUCCCAGAUCUACCCUUCAAAUUGCUAUUUUCUUAAGCCAUUUUCUCAUGAUGCAGUUAUAGAUUGAAUCUUAAUUAUAUUUUACAAAGCUUAAUCUGCCAAUACUGGAUAGGUGCCUAGGAAAUGUGGCUUUUUAAAUUGAUGGUUUUUGUAAUCUUUAAUCUGCAAAUUUCACAUUUUCAAGUCAAAGUAUAAGAAAAAUAUAAUGAACACGUGUGUGUGUAUGUAUAUACAGUGGACCUCACUAUUUGUGGAUUCCACAUUUCCAAAUUUGCCUACUCACCAAAGUUUAUUUCUAAUCCUAAAAUCAAUUGGCAGCAUUGUCACGCUCCUUGGUGGACAUUUGCAGAGCAUCAAAGAUUUGCAUCAUCCAACACACGUUCCCAGCUCGGGUUGAACCAGGAAGCUCCAUCCAGAAAUAAUCCGUGAAUGAAAACACCUAAAUAUAAAAGAAACACAUUAAUAUAACACUUGAAAUAUGCAUUUUGAUUGAGUUCUGAAUCUGAAAUUUCUACAUGAAGGACACAAGAAGAAGCAGGUCAAGAAGAAAUACAUAAUCAUGCUGAAUGUUUCUUAAACAGCCUAGCCAGGUAACACUACAUUGAAGACCACAGUCAACAAUCACCGGUAUUCUUAUUGUGUUCAUUCAACAUGAUAAUGCCGCAUUCUUAAACAUAAGUAGACAACCCCAAAUUAUCAGAUACCAGAAAAGGCUUCUAACAUGUAAAGUUUUUCACUUAUGCAUUCAACUUCUAAACACAAAAAAGAUUAUUCUGAUUUUUUGUUUCUUCUUGUAUCUGUUUGGUAACAUAUGUUUUCCCAAGAAUUUGUCUAUUUCAUUUACAUUUUAAAAUGUAUUUACAUUUUAAAUGUAUUGGCAUAGGUUUGAGAAGGGAGGCAGAGCAAGAUGGCCAAUAGAAGCCUCCACAAAUCGUCCUCCCUGCAGGAACACCAAAUUUAACAACUAUCUACACAAAAAAGCAACUUCAUAAGAACCAAAAAUCAGGUGAAUGACCACAGUACCCAGUUUUAACUUUAAUCACUGAAAGAGGCACUGAAGAGGGCAGGAAAGACAGUCUUGAAUUGCUGAUGCCAACCCUCCUCCAUCACCCGGCAGUGGCAGUGUGGCACUGAGAAUCUGUCGCUUGUAGGAGGGAGAGCACAAUGAUUGAGACUGUACUGGAACUCAGUGCUUUCCUGUCACAGAAGACAGCAACACCAGGAAGAGCUCAGCUGAUGCCUGUGAAAGAAGCAUUUAGACCAACCCUAACUACAGGGGAAGCACACAUCCCAGCAGUUGGAACAGGAGUUUCAGCAAGCCUUGCCACCACCAGCUAAAGUGCUCUGGGGUUCUAAAUAAAUUUGAAAGGCAGUCUAGGCCACAGGAACGACAAUUCCUAGGCAAGGCCUAGUCCUGUGCUAGACUUGGAGCUAGUGGCUUGCGGGGGGCAUGCCAUCUAGUGAGACACCUGCCAGGGUGGUUAAUAGAGUGCUUGCACCACCCCUCCCCCAAUCCCAGGCAGCAUAGCUUGCAGCUCCAGGAGAGACUACUUCCUUACUGCUUGAGGAGAGGAGAGGGAAGAGUAAAGAGGACUUUGUCUUGCAACUUGGGGGCCAGUUCAGCCACAGUAGGAUGGGGCACCGGGAACAGUCCUGGGGUCCACAUUCUAAGCCCUGGCUCCUGGACAAUAUUUCUAGACACAUAUUUGGUCAUAAAGGAACCUGCACUCUUGAAGGGAAGUGCCCACUCCUGGUGGGAUUCAUCACCUGCUGACUAAGGAGCUCUUGGCCCUGAAUAAUAAGCAGCAGUAGCCAGGUAGUACACACCAUGGGCCUUGAGUGAGACUCAGUGCCAUGCAGGCUUCAGGUGUGACCCUGCACGUUUCCACCUUGGUGGCUACCAGGAGAGAUUCCUUUUUGAGGAAAGCACAGGGAAGAGUAAAGGGGGCUUUGACUUGCAGCUUAGGUACCAGCUUGACUGCUACAGUGGGGUAUGCACCAAGAGGUCUCCUAGGGUCCCCAAUUCCAGGCCUUGGCUCCUGGAUGGCAUUUCUGGAAAGGAGUUCAAGACUAGCCUGGGCAACAUGGUGAAACCCCGUCUCUACAAAAAAUAAAAAAAUUAGCUGGGUGUUGGUGGUGCAGGUCUUUAGUCCCAGCUGCUUGGGGGGCUGAGGCAAGAGGAUUACUUGAACCUGGGAGGUUGAGGCUGCAGUGAGCCAAGAUUGUGCCGCUGCACUCCAGCCUGGUUGACAAAGUGAGACCCUUAAAAAAAAUUGUAGAGAUGGUAUCUCACUAUGUUGACCAUGCUGCUCUCCCAACUCCUGGCCUCAAGCAAUCCUCCUGUCUCAGCCUCCCAAAGUGCUGGGAUUAUAGGUGUGAUCCACUGCACCUGAUCUAACCAAAUUUUAAUAGAAAAAUCUUCUUAAUCAAUACUUGGCUACUUGCUAGCUAUUAAAUCACAGACUAACUUUGGCAACAUUCACCACAAGGUGGCUAAAGACCCCUUGGGCCUUGAGUAAGAUCAGCAGUAGCCCGGCAGUACUCCCUGUGAACCUGUGAUGAUGGCAGCUACAGGGAGAGGCUCCUCUGCCUGUGGAAAGGGGAAAGAAGAUAACACAACUGUGUUUGAGAAUAGCUUUGUCUUGUAGUUUGGGUGCCAGCUCAGCAGCAGUAGAACAGAGCACCAGGUGAAUUCUUAAGGUUUCAGGCUGUAGGCUCUGACUCCCAGGCAGCAUCUCUGGACUCAUCCAGGGCCCAGGGAAACUGACUGCUGUGAAGGGAAGGACAUAAGCCUGGUUGGCUUUGCCACCUGCUGACUGUAGAGCCCCAGGGCCUUGAGCAAACAUAGACAGUAGCCAGGGAGUGGGUACAACAGGCCUUGGAUGAGACCCAGUGCUGUGCUGGUUUCAGGUCUGACCCAGCACAGUCUCAAUGUUGGUGGCCAUAUGGGUGUUUUUGUCACCCCUCCUCCAGCUUCAAGCAGCUCAGCAGAGAGAGAGAGAGUCCAUGUGUUUAUGAGAAACAAAGGGAAGAGAACAAGACUCUUUCCCUUGUAAUUUAGAGAAGUCUUCUGAACCUUAUCCAAGACCACCAAGGCAGUAUCUCUAUGAGUCUGAAAGAGCUACAGUGUUACUGGGCUUCUAAGUGCCCCCUAAAGCAGAUACAGCUGCAGUGACCAAAAACUUAGAUCACAACAUCCAAGUCCCUUCAAAUAUCUGGAAAGCCUUCCCAAGAAGCAUGGGUACAAACAAGCCCAGACUGCAAAGACUACAGUAAAAACUUAUCAGUGCCCACAUACUGACAAACAUCCACAAGCAUCAAGACCAUCUAGGAUACUGAAUAGUGUCUGGGUAGCAAAAAAUAAAAUAAAAAAUAAGACCAUUCAUAAAACAUGACCUUACCAAAUAAACUAAGGCACCAGUGACUAAUCCUGGAGAUACAGAUAUGUGACCUUGCAGACAGAGAAUUCAAAUAAGUGUUUUGAGGAAAUGCAAAAAAAGAUUCCAAAUAACACCGAGAAGGAAUCCAGAAUCCUAUGAGAUAAAUUCAACAAAGAGAUUGAGAUUUUUUUAAAAGAAUCAAGCAGAAAUUCUGGAGCUAAAAAAUGCAAUUAAUAUGCUGAAUAAUGCAUCAGAGUCUCUUAACAGCAGAACUAAUCAAGCAGAAGAAACUAGUUAGCUAGAAGACAGGCUAUUUGAAAAUACACAGUAAGAUGAGAUAAAAGAAAAAACAAGAAAGCACACCUACAAGAUCUAGAAAAUAGCCUUAAAAGGGCAAAUCUAACACUUAUUGGCCUUAAAGAAGAGGUAGAGAGAGAUAUAUAUGGGAAGAAAGUUUAUUCAAGCAGUAGUAACAAAGGACUUCCUAAACCUAGAGAAUGAUAUCAAUAUUCAAGUACAAGAAGGUUAUAGAACACCAAGCAGAUUUAAGCCAAAAAAGACUCAAGGCAUUUAACAAUCAAACUCCCAAAGGUAGUAAAAUAAAGAAAGGAUCCUAAAAACAGUAAGAUAAAAGAAACAACACACAAUGGAGUUCCAAUAUGUCUGGCAGCAGACUUUUCAUUGGAAACCUUACAGGCCAUGAGAAAGUGGCAUGGCAUAUUUAAAGUGCUGAAGGAACAAAACUUUUACCCUAGAAUAGUAUAUCUGGUGAAAAUAUCCUUCAAAUAUAAAGGAGAAAUAAAGAGACUUUCCCAAACAACAAAAGCUGAGGGAUUUCAUCCACACCAGACUUGUUCUAUAAGAAAUACUAAAGGGUAUUCUACAACCUGAAAGAAAAGGAUGUAAAUGAGCAAUAAGAAAUUAUCUGAAGGUAUAAAACUCAGGGUAAUACUAAGUUCACAGAAAAACAGAAUAUUAUAACACUAUAAGUGUGUUGUGUAUACUACUCAUAUCUUGAGGAGAAAGACUAAAAGAUGAACAAAUAAAAAAUAAUAACUACAACAACUUUUCAAGACAGAGACAGUAUAAUAGGAUAUAAAUAGGAAAAACAAAAAGUUAAAAAGCAGGAGGGAUGAAGGUAAAGUGUAGAGUUUUUAUUAGGUUUCUCUUUGCUUGUUUCUUUGUUUAUGCAAUCGGUUUUAAAUUGUCAUCAGUUUAAAAUAAUGGGUUACAAGAUAUUAUUUGCAAGCCUCAUGGUAACCUCAAAUCAAAAAACAUAUAAUAAAUACACAAAAAGUAAAAAGCAAGAAGUUAAAACAUACUACCAGAGAAAAAUCACCUUCAUUAAGAGGAGAGGAAGGAAAGGAGGAGAAAACCAGAAAAUAACAAAAUGGCGGGAGUAAGUACUUACUUAUCAAUAAUAAUGUUGAAUGUAAAUGGACUAAACUUUUCAAUCAAAACACAUACAGUGGCUGAAUGAAUUUUUUUAAAAAACAAGACUCAAUGAUCUGUUGCCCAGAAGAAACACACUUCACCUAUAAAGAUACAUAUAGACUGAAAAUAAAAGGAUAAAGAUAUUCCAUGCCAAUACAAACCAUAAAAGAGCAGGAGUAGCUAUACUUAUAUCAGACAAAAUAGAUUUCAAAACAAAAACUACAAAAAGAGACCAAGAAGGCCAUUAUAUAAUGAUAAAGUGGUCAAUUCAGCAAGAGGAUAUAACAAUUUUAAAUACAUAUGCACCCAACACUGGAAAACCAAGAUAUAUAAAGCAACUAUUACAGCCAAAGAGAGACACAGACACCAAUAAAAAUAGUAGCUGGAGACUUCAACACCCUACUUUCAGCAUCAGACAGACCAUCCAGACAGAAAAUCAACAAAGAAACAUCAGACUUAAACUGCACCGCAGACCAAAUGGUCCUAAUAGAUACUUACAGAACGUCUCAUCCAGUGGCUGCAGAAUACAUGGUUAACUCAGCACGUGGAUCGUUCACAUGUUAGGCCACAAAAAAAGUUUCAAAAUAUCCAAAAAAAUGAAAUAAUAUCAAGUAUCUUCU